GAUGAACGCUGGCGGCGUGCCUAAUACAUGCAAGUCGAGCGAAGCGGGGACGGGUGAGUAACACGUGGAUAAACUCCUCUAAGACUGGGAUAACUUCGGGAAACCGGAGCUAAAUCGGAUACUUAUAGUUGCAUCCUCCAUGCAUUAGUUAGUGGGUAAGGUAACGGCUUACCAAGGCAACGAUGCCUAGCCGUCCUGACAGGAUGAUCGGCCACACUGGAACUGAGACACGGUCCGUACUCCUACGGGAGGCAGCAGUAGGGAAUCUCCCGCAAUGGGCGAAAGCCUGACGGAGCAACGCCGCAUGAGUGAUGAAGGUUUUCGGAUCGUAAAACACUGUUAUUAGGGAAGCGUUACCGAAUCAGAAAGCCACGGCUAACUCCGUGCCAGCAGCCGCGGUAAUUC
rnacentral:rRNA from 1 species